AGAGUUUGAUCCUGGCUCAGAAUCAACGCUGGCGGCGCGCCUAACACAUGCAAGUCGAACGAGAAAGUGGAGCAAUCCAUGAGUAAAGUGGCGUACGGGUGAGUAACACGUGGAUUAUCUGCCCUUUUGUGGGGAAUACCGCUGGGAAACCGGCGACAAUACCGCAUAAGCCCGAGAGGGGAAAGCAGCAAUGCGCAGAAGGAGGAGUCCGCGGUCGAUUAGUUAGUUGGCGGGGUAAAGGCCCACCAAGACUGUGAUCGAUAGCCGGCCUGAGAGGGCACACGGCCACACUGGCACUGAAACACGGGCCAGACUCCUACGGGAGGCAGCAGUGGGGAAUCUUGCACAAUGGGGGAAACCCUGAUGCAGCGACGCCGCGUGAGCGAUGAAGCCCCUCGGGGUGUAAAGCUCUUUCGGCAGGGAAGAUUAUGACGGUACCUGCAAAAGCAGCUGCGGCUAACUACGUGCCAGCAGCCGCGGUAAUACGUAGGCAGCAAGCGUUG
rnacentral:rRNA from 1 species